GUCUAUGGCCAUGCCACCCUGAACAAUCCCGGUCCUGUCUGAUCUCGGAAGCUAAGCAGGGUCGGGCCUGAUCAGUACUUGGAUGGGAGACCACCUAGGAAGACCAGGUGCUGUAGGCU
rnacentral:rRNA from 1 species